UAAGGAGGAUGCGAGCGUUAUCCGGAUUUAUUGGGUUUAAAGGGUGCGUAGGCGGAGUGUCAAGUCAGCGGUAAAAUUUCGGGGCUCAACCCCGUCGUGCCGUUGAAACUGCCGUGCUAGAGAGGAAGAGAAGUAGGCGGAAUGCGCAGUGUAGCGGUGAAAUGCUUAGAUAUUGCGCAGAACUCCGAUUGCGAAGGCAGCCUACCGGCUUCUGUCUGACGCUGAUGCACGAGAGCGUGGGUAGCGAACAGG
rnacentral:rRNA from 1 species